rnacentral:lncRNA from 1 species
GUUAGACGCUUCUCGCAUUCCGUGUUCUGUAUAAAGGUAUAUAUAACAUCCAUCAAGGCCGCCAGUGCAUGAAAGUCGUAAAAUGAAAAGCCUACAUAAGAGGAUCGCAAUCUUUUUCGCGUCCCAAAACGAUUCAAACCCAAUGCUCGCCAUCAGCGUGAAUCAUGAAGAAUUAAAAUUUGCCUCUCUACCUCGAUCGCAAUUGGCCUUUGAACUCUGAUUCCUUAAGGACGUUUUCGUGGUUUGGUUCCCCUUUCAAUUGGUAUCAAUUUUGCCUUGUUUUGAAAACAAUGCAAUCCUACCCAUACGAACACACACACUUUAUGGGUGCAGCCAUGUUUAACGAAAUGGAUCAGUUCUUAAGUCAGUUUAGUGACGAGACGAAACUUGCGUCCCAGUCACGGAAAUAUCGAAAACACAUAAAUGACAUUCUCGAGAAUAAACAAACAGUUGCGUUCGUCAUCAGUCUAACCAAUGAAAAAAAUCGACCAAUAAAAAAAUGUAUCCAAAGUCUGACAGAGGUAGUCAACUUUUUAAGAAUACGUGUCAAAAUUGGCUAAAUUUUUGUAAAAAUUACUCUCGCGUGCCAAUUCGAAUUUUAAAUAACAUAUUAGCUCCAAGUUUUGCGUAUAUACACAAAAAAUUUCCUAGGAUGUAACUUUGUACAUGCAUGCCAAAAAUAGC